rnacentral:rRNA from 1 species
CGUUGUUCGUGAAAUCUCACGGCUUAACUGUGAGCGUGCGGGCGAUACGGGCAGACUUGAGUACUGCACGGGAGACUGGAAUUCCUGGUGUAGCGGUGGAAUGCGCGGAUAUCACGAGGAACACCGGUGGCGAAGGCGGGUCUCUGGGCAGUAACUGACGCUGAGGAGCGAAAGCGUGGGGAGCGAACAGGAUUAAAUACCCUGGUAGUCCACGCCGUAAACGGUGGGUACUAGGUGUGGGUUUCCUUCCUUGGGAUCCGUGCCGUAGCUAACGCAUUAAGUACCCCGCCUGGGGAGUACGGCCGCAAGGCUAAAACUCAAAGAAAUCGACGGGGGCCCGCACAAGCGGCGGAGCAUGUGGAUUAAUUCGAUGCAACGCGAAGAACCUUACCUGGGUUUGACAUGCACAGGACGCCGGCAGAGAUGUCGGUUCCCUUGUGGCCUGUGUGCAGGUGGUGCAUGGCUGUCGUCAGCUCGUGUCGUGAGAUGUUGGGUUAAGUCCCGCAACGAGCGCAACCCUUGUCUCAUGUUGCCAGCGGGUAAUGCCGGGGACUCGUGAGAGACUGCCGGGGUCAACUCGGAGGAAGGUGGGGAUGACGUCAAGUCAUCAUGCCCCUUAUGUCCAGGGCUUCACACAUGCUACAAUGGCCGGUACAAAGGGCUGCGAUGCCGCGAGGUUAAGCGAAUCC